rnacentral:lncRNA from 1 species
UUGUUGAUGAUAAUGCUAUUUCUUUCUGUUUGUUAGUUUUCCUUCUAACAGUCAGACCCCUCUGCUGCAGGUCUGCUAGAGUUUGCUGGAGGUGCACUCCAGACCCUGUUUUCCUGGGUAUCACCAGCGGAGGCUGGUGAACAGCAAAGAUUGCUGCCUGUUCCUUCCUCUGGAAACUUUAUCCCAGAGAGGCACCUGCCAGAUGCCAGUCAGAGCUCUCUGUAUGAGGUGUCUGUUGACCCCUACUGGGAGGUGUCUCCCAGUCAGGCUACACAGGGGUCAGGGACCCCCUUGAGGAGGCAAUCUGACCCUUAGCAGAGCUUGAGCGUUGUGCUGGGAGAUCCGCUGCUCUCUUUAGAGCCAUCAGGCAAGGACGUUUAAGUCUGCUGAAGCUGCCCCCAUAGCCACCCCUUCCCCCAGGUGCUCUGCCU